rnacentral:rRNA from 1 species
CCUACGGGUGGCAGCAGUGAGGACUAUUGGUCAAUGGGCGGAAGCCUGAACCAGCCAAGUAGCGUGCAGGCUGACGGCCCUACGGGUUGUACACUGCUUUUAUACGGGAAUAACGCGCCUUACGUGUAGGGCUUUGCAUGUACCGUAUGAAUAAGGACCGGCUAAUUCCGUGCCAGCAGCCGCGGUCCUACGGAAGGUCCGGGCGUUAUCCUGAUUUAUUGGGUGUAAAGGGAGCGUAGGCCGCAUGUCCAGCGUGCUGUGAAAUGUCCGGGCUCAACCCGGGCCUUGCAGCGCGAACUGGCGUGCGUGAGUCCGCGGAAAGCAGGCGGAAUUCGUCGUGUAGCGGUGAAAUGCUUAGAUAUGACGAAGAACCCCGAUUGCGAAGGCAGCUUGCUGCAGCGGAACUGACGCUGAUGCUCGAAAGCGCGGGUAUCGAACAGGAUUAGAUACCCCAGUAGUC